ACUCUCAAACUAUUAUCUCUGGUUUUGUGUGUUACAGGUAAUGAAUUAGUUUAAUUUUCAACUUCUAGACCUCCAGUAUUACAUUGCUUUAUCAUACGUUACCGGGAUCCUAAAAAACAAAUACAUAUACAAAAACAGAAAAUAAACAUCACCUCCACAAGUGGUUACUGUGCAUUAAUCCAGAAUGGGUGGUGAUCGGGAUGAGUUGGGGGGUGGGGUUCAGCACCUAUUAGAAAGACUGCAACUACUCUUGUGGUCUAAUGGAACAUAGGUUUUUCUUUAGGAGAGAUUAAUCGGGAGUGAGGUCUGCCUAAACCUGAGAUGAGAAGAAUUUGUCUCCUGAGAAUAAUGAUGGAUAUCCCUCAAGAAUUGAAGAUGGGCCAGAAAGAAGAAAGCAUUGUGGCUUGGUUGAUGUACAGAAAGAGCUCUUACUGAAUCCAGUAGCAUUCCCAGUGCUGUUGAAGGUGUAAAUCACUCUAAAGGCUUUGGUGUAUGCAGUCCUGGAUUCAAAUCCUAUCUCUGAAAGCUUGAAGAAGAGAGUUGACAUUUCUGGAGCACACAAAUCAACUCAUUAAAUAAUGACAAAUGAAUAUCUUUUCUGACUUCGAUAGCACACAUACUAGAAUUAGAAAAUACCAAGGAGAUCAUUGUGGCCCCUGGGCAUGGGUGAUCUAUAUCAUCGUUCCCCAACCCCUGGGCCAUGGACCUGUACUGGCUUAUGGCCUGUUGGGAACCGGGUCACACAGCUGGAGGGUACACAGAAUGAUUACAUUUGUUCCUUGCUGUUAGGAGGAACAAGCAGAAGUUCCAUAUGCCACCUUCUUCUGCUACUGCAGCAACAAGUGAUAUUCGAGACAGUGAAGCCCCCAUCAAUUCUAGACUGAUAUGGAGCAGAGACGACCUCCUAUACACACUCCCACUACUGACCCAUGGUGGACAAGAAACCAGAAAUUUCAUUAUGUUAAGCUUCUGAGAUAUUUCUGUUUUUUCCACUGAACAUUAUUCUAAUUUAUGUGAUAUAUUUGAUUUUAGAGCUAACUUGUUCUAAAGCUUACAGUCUUUUGCUGGGCAGGGUAGCAGUUCCAGCCACUUAGUAGGCUGAAACAGGAGGAUGGCUUAAGCUCAGGAGUUUGAGACCAGCCUGGGCUAAAUAAUGAGACCCCAUCUCUUAAAAAUAUAUACAAAAUAUAUAAACAAAAAUAAAGCUUACAAUUUUUUUCAACAACAACCUUGUGUAUAGUUCAAACGGAUUUUGUACCCCAUACCUUAGUAACCUACUCAAUGUCAUAUAAGCCUUUCUACCUUUCAGAGUAUCUUCUUGUCAUUCCUUCUUAAAAUGCUCCUCCCAAAUCCUAUUCUGUCUUUUUUUACUACUUUUGAUCUGAACUGUCCAAUAUGUGACUUUGUCCAUAUGUGUCCACAUGCAACUAUUGAGCCCUUGAAAUAUGGCUAGUUCAAAACUGAGAUACACUGUAAGUAUAAUACUGCAUACUGGAUUUUGAACAAUUAGGACAAAAAGAAUAUUAAAUAUAUUCUUAAAAUUAAUUACAUGUUAAAAUGGUAUGUUGGAUAUAUUUGGUUAAAUGAAACUUUAUUAAAA
rnacentral:lncRNA from 1 species